GGGUCAGUAGGUUGGUCGUGCCACCGGUACGUACUGGUCUCACUGAUUCCUCCUUCCUGAAGAACCGUAAUGCCAUUAAUUUGGUGUUGCGGGGAAACAGGACUGUUACUUUGAAAAAAUUAGAGUGUUUAAAGCAAGCUAACGCUUGAAUACAUUGGCAUGGAAUAAUGAAAUAGGACGAUCGAUCCUAUUUUGUCGGAUUCUAGGAUUGACGUA
rnacentral:rRNA from 1 species